CCAGAAUUCUCCUUAAAUAAUCAACAUUUCUCUUCCUCCUCCUCCUCCUCCUCAUCAUCAUCAUCAUCUACCCCUCACUCAUGGCUGGUAGGACCAACUGAACUUUUCCCUUUAUAGAUAUAUGAUAUUUGAUGAUUUAUAUGAUAAAUCUUAAUGAUUUUAAAACCAAACUGAAAAUGUACCUUUUCAGUUUUGCUUUUCACUAAUUUUAUAUCAUUAACUUGAAGUGUUUUAACAUUUAUCUCUUCUAGUUUUAAUGACAGGAUCAUCUUUUAUUGAGCUAUCUUGGUGCUCUUAUUUUGAUAUCUUUUGCUGUUGUUUUUAUGUCAUUUUAUUUAUUAUUUCUUAAAUUUCAUUCCAUGUUACUUUGUUUUUAGAUUUUAAACCUUCAGUGUUUCCUUAUCUUGAGUUUUAAAAUGGCGUCUCCUCAGUGCGCUCUGUCCACUUAUCUGUUUCUGUGAAAUCGAGCCCUUUUUAAGUUCAUGCAUUUAAUAAACGUUUCUGUUGUGGUGGGAAUGGAGGGUUGAGUUGGCGUGGAUCAGAGUAUUCUUUGUUUCUUUUAUUCCUCUGCUGUGUAAAUCACUUUGUUCUACAACGUUUUGUAUGAAAAGUGCUACAUAAAUGAAGAUUGAUUGAUUGAUUGAUAUAAAUUGACUUUUAGAGAACAAAAAAGGGACUCCAAGGACUCUUGGUACUUUUUUCUUUUGUUUGUGGACUGGACAUAAACACAGAGUUUUAAAGGAAAAAAAUCCUAGACACACAAAUUAAAUCAUCACAACAACCAACAAUGACAAGGAGUCAUCAUUGUUGGUUGUUGUGAUUAUCUAAUUUGUGUGUUUUUAAUUUUCCAAUACAAUAAUUUUGAGUAACUUUAUCUGAGUCUCCUGAAUUUGAAUAUUGACAUCAGUUCAUUUCUUCAUUUAGCAUCAUUAUAACUAUGACACUCUAAUGUCACAGAUGAACCUGUACUGCACAUAGUUUUAACUAAAGUUUAGGAGUAAAAUUAGGAUCUGAAGAUAUCAGUUCUUGAUUGACAUAUUUAUUUUAGUGGUUAGAGUCAGAAAUGAUUGUAGCAAUCGCCGUGACAACAGGAAAAAACCACCUGUACGCAGUUUAAGUGCGGUCAUUGGCUAACCUCCUCCUCCCCCUGUCUUGUCGUUUCGUGUGUACUUCCCCGUCCUAACAGGAGCUGGCAGCUAAACAGUAAAUCCUUCUGCAGCACACCGUCACAUCUGGGAGUCUGAUUAAGAAAUGCACCUGCAGGCGAGACGGUCGGAGUGGAGAGAGAGAAGAGGAAAUAUUCCCAAAGACGAUCAGGGACGCCUUAAAGAGACUGAUUUAUCGGUAAGAGAAAAACAGAAAAAACAGAAAAACAGAGAACUUACCUUUGUAUUGGCUUACUAAGAUUUCUGCUUCUUCCCCCUUAAAUCCACAACAUGAAAUUUACUUGUAUGCAUAUUUGGAUUAAGAGAUGGCUGUCAGCCUUUAGUAAAGUUACUUCAUCAGCUGUGAGUUUGAACAAGGACUUGCAUGACUCGAAGGAGCAGCUUUUCAUCUCCGAGUCGCUCAUAAAUGAUCUCAAAGAUCAAUACUGAUCGUCACAUGAUGAAUGUCUGGGAUGAAAAACUGAAUAACUUGAAGGAGCUUGUAGCUUUAUCAUGAGAAAAUCAGCUCUUUGUGCUGCAGCGUUAACUCAGCGAGGAGGACAUGAUCAUCGGUUCUUAAAGGAAACAGUCAGACAUCUCCAGACUUGGACAUUGUUGGGAGUUUAAAUGUUAAAUGUUGUAUCCGGAACCAUGUAGUGUCCUGUUGAUCCAUUUGGCAAUAGCAGUGUGAAGAAACCCAGCAUGCACCCGCCUCAUACUUAAAGCAACAUCAUCUGUGGUCAUGAACAAACCAUCAGACUCAUUCAGACUAAAUUUUGCAUCUUAAAGUAAGAGAUUUGUCUGAUAUAUUUUUGACAUUAUAAAAUAAGAGUUUCCCUUGCAUUGCUGCACAUGAUUAAGUUAACAUUAUCAAGUUUUAAGUCCACGGCUCCACUGAUGGUCAAACUUGGAUCAAAUAAAAAUGUGAACAGCGUUUCGUUCUCCUGUUUUAUUUCCACAAAUGUGUCAGACCUCCGCCGGCCUCCGUCACAACUCCAGCUUUAUUAGGCUGAAUGAUACGUCAAGGUCGGGGACCACAUAAAGAAAAAGAGCAGAGUGACUCAUAACUGGAGUGGAUCUGACUUUUAAAGGUCGGCAUUAGCUUCCUCUAAUCCUCAUUGAAUACUAAGUACCGAACAAAACUCUCCACUCUUCAGUUCUGAAACUUUUCACAGUUUUGUGACAAAAACCACAAAGUCUGAUUCAAACCUUAGAAAUCUUAGAAACCUCAGAAAUUUGCCAAAAAAUACAACUGGACAAGAUCAACAAAGUGAUACUGUACAUGUUUGCCCACAGAGUAGAGGUUGAAAUCGAUAACCAUGUCCAUUAAAUACCUGUUAGAGCAUUUUUUAAAGUCUGAAAAUCAGUAACAUUUGAGCUUAUCCAGUCUGCAGUCAGGUCUCAAGGGUCCAUGAAGUGAAGUUAUAGUUAUUAAUACAUUAAUAGACUGUCUGAUUAAGCGUGUGAACAGCAAAUAGUUAUAAAAGUAAACAACAAAGAAAUUGCAAUAAUGGCUGAGGGGGUCAAAAGUGUGGUUACAUGGUACCGAAGCAGAAGAAAUGCAUUUUACACACAUCAGCACUGUCCACCACACGCCUGGGGUUUCAAGACAACCGUGGGUCACUAUUUAGUAAAUAAAGAUGAGUGUUGGUUCAACUGAAAAGACUUCAGUCCAAAAACAACCGCUGCCUUAAGGAGAAGAUGGUGUGACUGUGGGUGAAGAGGUUGUUGCUCAGUGGGAAAAAAAGGUGCUGCUGCAAAGAAGCUAAAUACAAAGUCCACUGACUGCAGAAACUUGAUCAGGAUGAUGCUUGAAACUGCUUUUCCCAAGACUUUAGAACAGCAUCUCAUAUAUGUGGGUGAAUUUAUAGAGCAGUUUAAAACUUUUGGUCCGUGUCUGUUCUGAACGAAGUCGUCUUUGCUGAUUUAAAGUUGGUGUUUUUGAGAAAAUCAUCUUAUCUACUUUAACACUCCCCUCCAGUGGUUUUAGAUGGUUAAAAUUACUAAGCGGAGACUAGAAAACCGUCUCUCCUCCUUUUUUAGAUCAUUAUGAAACAUAAAUAUUGACUUCAGUGUGUUUUAUAACCAGCCCAAAAAUGACUCACAGGAACUUUAAACCUAAAAGCCUUUUUAAACUCUGUUUGUGCAUUAAUACUCUCAUUGUGUUCAGCAAUGUGCAGUUUUGAUGCAGACGCGUUUCUCCAUAUAUUACAAACUGCUCUUGCCACCACCCCAGCUACUCAUGCAGUAUUGAGACCUAGCUCGAAGUAGCAUUACUGGUUGUGAGGUACAGAUGGACACUUGUCCCGCCCACCUCUGCUGGACGCUUGUCUUGAAUUGAGGCGUGUUUUUCCAAAUCAAACCAGCUCUAUAAAAGUGUCCAACCAUUUCAAAAACGAAAUAAAAAGUGUUUUUGCUUGACUAGCCCGUCUCACUAUGCACUGAAGUGGCCACUUGUGUCUCAGAGUGCCAUCUUCUGGGUAAGAUACUGCACUGCAAUUAAAAAUCUCUGUAUUUUUAACCACUCUGUUGGUUUCAUCAGUGUACGGGAUCUAGCUCACUUUCUCUGUGACUAAAAUGGUAAGAACUUUCACAAUAAUAUACUUUUUGUCUGUAUUUUUUAAUUUUAUUUGUGAGUAUUUGGGUUACAGUCGCUGAAAGGAUUGAUCGAGGGCAGAAAAAAAUUAGCCUCCAUCCAGUUUUAUCGAGCCCGGACACCCUGCGAAGGAAACCCAUUUUGGCCGCUUGUAUCCGCGAUCUUGUUCUUUUGGUCAUUACCCAAAGUUCACGGCCAUAGGUGAGGAUUGGCAUGUAGAUCGACCAGUAAAUCAAGAGUGGACUUAGAGGUGCUGAUUCGCAUCCCAGCGGCUUCACACUCGGCCGCGAACUGGCCCAGCAAGAGCUGAAGGUCACUGCUCGACGAAGCUAGAAGUACCACAUCAUCCGCAAAAAGCAGCGAUGCGAUCCUCUGCCUGCUGAACUGGACACCCUUCAACCCCCGGCUGCGUAGUGUUUGUUUUGAGUUAAACAUUGCAGCAGAUAUUGUUGCUCAGAUUCGUGUUUGUGUCUCUGUUGUGAAGUUUUUUCCUGACUCUUCCUCAGACAGGAAAAAAACGGUAUUAGCUCGGUGUUCUUGUUAAUUUGUGUUGCUGUUUGACCUUGAAAACGCCAGGUUGGUGGCCUGCUCUUAUUGAACACCUUACCGCGGCCGAGGUGCCAGCUGGUGGCGACAGAUUUGAGAAAUGAAAGGCUGAGGCGGCGCAGGCAGACCUCCGCUCUGUUUAUCUGGAGCAGAUGGCAAAGACACGAUAAGAAUUUGUAAUCCACCGUUAUUACCACCUCUGCUGCGAGCGUCGUUGCUGCUGCUUUGACAAACAUUAAAAUCCUUGCUGAAGGUUUGUUUUCUCUGUUCUUACACAAGCUGGGAUCUUUGUUGAUAGUAGGAUGUUAGAAAAUGCCCUUGGAUGCAGGUAAGUAGUGGAGGAGAGAAGGUAAAUAAAGGCCUCUGUGGUUUAAACACUAUCAGGACCAAACUGCACAACAAACAGGGACUAAUUAGUGAUAUGAAAGUCGGUCUAUCAUGCACUUAGAACUGUUCUUUGCAUGAGGGACACUCUCUGAGGACGUGUGUGUGUUAAUAUGGCUGUGGGUGUUAGUAAUAAUGAUAUCCCCGCCUCUUAUUAUCAUCCUGGGUUUGAACUUUUAGCACAUAAUAACUCUGUGGUGGAGCGUCUGAGCUGUUUUGCAGUUUUGUUGGGUAUAAAAUGGUCAAUCUGAAAGCCGGUUUAACUCGGCAAUCAUUUCAGCCGAGGCUGAGGAGGAAAGUAAGAAAGUAUAUCCACUCCAGUGCAGACCUGCACUUUGUCUUUGAGGUGCUUCUAUAUUAACACAGUAUUUCACCUGCUCUGCUAUAUUUCAGGAUAAUACCACACUGACCUAAAUUGCAGACUCGGGCUCAGUCCCAUCUCUCAUUUUUACCCCUCUACCGCUCAUUUUCGAGGGCUGCUUUGCCUCUUGAAAUGGAGCGGCAAGAAAGAUAGGGAGACUUUUUUUCCUCUGCAAAAUAGGACCAACCAUUUAGGACCUUGUUAAAUCAUCAAUAGCCCUGAAACUAACAGGCAGAUAAAACCAAGGCUGGAAAUUAUCAGCAGAAUUUUACAAUAUUUCACUGUAAUAUUUUACUUUUAAUGAAUGUAUCAUCACUUUACAGGAUUUAACCGUAAUGUUAACAGUAUAAUACUGUAAUUUUGAAUUUUAAUGUGAAAUCAAUACAGGAACAGUAAAUUACUCUGAAAUACUUACAGUAAAUCACCAGGAAAUCACUGAGAAAGUGGUGGAACUAGUCGUCUGUAAUUUACAGUAAAUUUACAGCCAAAAAGAACAACAUUUGUAGGUAGGCACAUCUGAUUUGAUCUCAUGUAAAGACAUUUCUCAUCUUUGAUUCCACUUUGAACACAACAACUCAAUAAUAACCCACUCAGAGUCAUAAUAAUAAUGCAGUAUCCUUUAAUUUGUGCUAAUGACAUCGACUACAUUAUGAUAUAAUAGAUUUUUAGGUGAAGUCUUCUUCAUGGAAAAAAACAACAGUACCCUUUUUUGAGGUCACCAGAAUCAACUCUGCAUGAAAGCCCCUCUAAUUUCUAAUUAUUUAAGUAAAAGUGACAUCUAACCAAAGUGAACAGACUAUAUUCACAAAUAAACCACCCAGAGGAGGAACCAACGCAAGAACAGCACCCUCUGGUGACGGGCUGCAGUAUAGAUCAUAAAUCCCGCCUCCUCCGGUAAUCCCUAUGGAGCUGUGGACAAACUUUAUACAUUAAUGACACAGAAUAUAAAUGUUUCUCCCCCCUGCUUGUGAUGUUGACAUGUAGUUACUGUCAGACUGGUUUGUGAUCAAGUCCUCUUUUUUUCCGUACAGCUCCAUUUUUAAAAGUUCUUAGGGGGUUCAAGUUUUCUAUGAUUGACACCUGAUACAGCCUAUUGGCGUACGAAGGUUGCGUAGCUCACCCGAGGGGAUACGCUGUUUGAGCCGAGCGUAAUCACAGCGACUCACCCGCCGAAUGCGUACAAUGGUACUGCGCAAGUGGUGGCUCCAGGAAGUGGAGAAAAUUCUGGAAAUACUGAGAGCAAUAAUGACUGAAGGCGGAGCCAAGUUGUCCAUAAUAUAGUCUAUGGGUGGUGCUGUUGUCAUGAUAACAGGGACUUUUGAGCUUUCUGUCCCUCACAAAUGCUGCAGACUCAGUCUCAGUCACUCUCACCGAGCAUGGCUGUUAGCACUGAUGUUUGUGAAAUAGUCAUUUUUGGAAUGAGGUUCAUUUGCAUAAUGGCUUAUGUAAAUAUGCACAAUAGCAGCCAUGCCCCAGGAUACUAUUUGUUUUACUUAGCAGCUUUCGGUGCAUAUAACUCUUUGCAUAUACUUUGUGAAUUAGAUGCUUUUUGUUUAAUAUGCACAGGUUUUCCAUGUGCAAAGCUGCAUAAACCUCAAUGAAUCAGGUCUUGAGAGGAAUGUCUGUCGGCAGCAGGUGUUCAACCGGGACCCGGAGCAGGUGGCUUGAAAAGGUGGAGGAAAUAUCUCAGUGGGACAGGUGGAAGAUGGUAUGGGAUGUUGGAAAAACUGGUUCAAAACAGAAGAGGCAGAGGAGAUGACACAGUGGCCUGAAAACAUCUCUCAAAGUCUCUCAAAUUCAAAGAAAAGAAGAGAUCAGCAAUACUACGCAGCUACAACACAGACUGGACCACCGUGGGAAAGGGGAACACUCCCCGCAUAUGUCGGACUCUUUUAUUCAGUCAUCGCUGUCAGUCUCUGUGAAGAAAAAUCAAGAUGAAGAUAAAGAGAAAUCAUCGCUGAGGUUAUUGAAAAGUAUCCUGGGAGAUCCUCACUAGAAGAAGCAGAAGAAAGGGUGCUCAUCAAAUAAUCGGUGUGCUCGUCAGCUCAGGAUGGAUACACACUCCAGUGUAAGAGACUCUCCUGCAGGUUUUAUCUUUGCUCUGAAUUCAGAGAUCAGCCACGACCUCCCCUGUUACAUUUACCUUCGCUGAAACCCUCCCUGUCACUCAAGGGACCAUGAUGUAAGAGGAGAGUAAGACCCGAAACGAACAAAUAUUGACGGAGAUGCUUGAGAGUAUAAAGGCAGGAGGCUGAUUUAGAUGAUGGUUUUGUUUCAGAAAAGCACCUUUAACAUAAACAGAUGCUGUUAAAGACAUCAGGAGGUUUUCUUUCUUUGUCAAAAGUACUAAUUUACUACCAUAAAAGCAUAAUCAUCGUGGAUUUAACAAAAGUCCUUCCAAAAACACCUGUUAGUGGUCACCUAUGAACUAGUGUAUGGAAAAGCUAAUCUACAUUUUUCAGAGUGAGUGGGAAAUUGGCCAGUGAGGGUAAAGCUGCAGCUGUUACCUUCAUGUUUUCUCUUCUUUUAUCGGCUGUAACUUUCCGUUUCAUCGAUGAAACGUAUAAAACAAGGCCAAAAAUGUUUAUACUGCCCCACAGAAGCACAUUUAUCAAUAUUAUCACGGUAUUGCCGAAAUAUGUUCAAAAUGUAUAAAAAGUACUUAUACUCGCCCUGAAAUCAUUUAACAAGGUUUUAUUUUGAAAAAACAAUCAAAAUAACACAUAGAAUGAACGUUUCCUUAACCUUAAAUGACAGAGGAGAGAUACGCUUAAAAAAUGAAAGAUGGGGCCUUUUAAGAGCCAGAGGUCAUCAACACUGGUACUUUGUACUUUGUAAAAACAAAGUACAAUGUGCCAGUGGCAUAAAAAUUAACAUAAUAACAAAUAAAUAAAAUUUAUAUAAACUGACAUCCUUUAUUGUGCAAACUGUAAGAAUCUUUAGUGCUCAAAAAGAUGGACUCUAAUAAAUAUAGAACAGAGCGACACGAUUAUAUGAAACAAAACAACCACAUGUAAACAAAUGUGAAGUGCAGGAGUUUAAAAUAACAUCAAAUAUGUAAACUAAUCAAAUGAAGCGAUUGUCCGUUUUCUUCACCAUAAGGUGCUGCUGCUGACUUUGUUCACUACUUGAGAUUGAAAUGUAAAAAUGGCUGCAGAUUUACUUUGUCUGGUUUAAGUCGUGAUCUGCGAGGGGAAAUGAUGUGUGCGCUGGAACUGAAUAGCCUCUUGGAUGACAUGCUGGUUGCUGGGAUGCGCAAAAGCUUCCUGGCAACCCUUGCGACCCUUUGUAAAAGCCGAAAUACGCCCAGACUUCGGACUUUGUUUUCUUUGACAGCGGAAAAAUCUCUGCAACACUGUUGGCAACCUGUGUCCGAAGGACUGCUGUGUGCGGCUGCUCUUUUCAGCACUGAGCAAUCUUUGAGCGUUUCCAGAGUGUGGCAAUCAAACACGGUUUUAACGGUAAUUGAAAUUUGAAACGGUAGUACUAACUGUCAGGCAUUUUACCGCGGUUUAUCAUUUUACCGGUAAUUGAUACAUCCCUACACUGUCGGAUGUCUGAUCUAAGAGAGUGCGAGGCAGGACAAGAUCUUGAGUUUGGUUGUGUGAGGUAGUGGCAUCUGUAAUUAAGCUAUUUUUGUUAAAGUCCAGUUAAAUAUUGUUGAAGCAGGUGUUUUGUUUUUGCUCUAUGUGGAACAUUUUUAGUGUUUUAUUUUGCAUCAGACCACCUGUUUGUUUGUGCAGUUUUUCGCGGCUGUGUCUAUGUAAACAGCAUGCUAGUGUUCCUGUGUCAGGUUGGUUUAUUUUGGUCUCUUUUGAAGUCUGCAGACCCAAACAGCUGAUUGGCAAAAAAAAUCACUUAAAUGUUGGAUCCAGAAAUUGUGCAAGAAUAAAACUCUGGGGUUUGAGUUUCGUAGAAUUAGCUAAAUUUCAUGGUGGAGUUGAUCAAGUGGGGUUGUCAUGUGCCGCUUCUCUGGUCGGUAUCCCUUACACUGCCUGACAAGUAUGUCAUGAAACACUGCUUAAAAUACGGACUGUCCCUUUAAUGAUACAGAUUACAACAGUUAAGUGUGUAGAUAUCAAAGGUAGCCAACAUUAAUCACCAAAAAGAUGAGAAAUCCUGGUCUGAAGCAGGUACCUGAGGCUGACUGAGUCAUCUGAGGAGCAGAUUAGACAGCCGUCCAUCACACGGAGAGGAGAGGAAACAGCCUGAGCCUCAAUCUUUAAGGCACGGUUUCAAAGGUCAGAGGGAUUUGUGAUGUGAUCGCCCUGACAGCCUUUCCACAAAUGAUGUCACCCUCCACCACCUCUGCUUCGACUUCUUCCUCCACUGCUGUCCGUCCGCUCACUGCAUCAAAGACUCUCUCUAAAGGACCGGUUUCAGCUGCCCACUGGUGUGUGAAGACUCAAUCAACUUUAUUAAUCGCUAUUUUCUCUCCAAAGGUCUUGAACUUUCUCUCUGGCUUAAAACCCCUUUCCUCCUCUUUCAGUCUCAGAUUUGUUAUGACUUCUCCAGUAGAGCAGUUUUUCCAGACUAUCUAAUCCUUCAACAGCUGAUUUUAAACUGAAUUCAAAGACGUUUUGAUCAUUUGGUUCUCCAGAUCGCUGCAGGACUUUAUAUUAGGACCUGUUUUGGCGAAUGUUAGGAUUUUAAUGAGUCUGUCCACCAAAUUGAUUUUAAUUUCUAUAACUUUGAUAAAACACACCCGUGUGUGUCUGAAUACUCAUUUACCCUGCCAACAGAGGACUUUGGUUUUAUUCGUAAGUGACCAAGUGGGGACCAAUCAGAGCAGAAGGGUUUGGGGGACUCUUAUCGGUUGUGUUUUCAUCUAUUUCAAACCAUGAUCAUCUCUGGUGAUUAUUCUUUCAUAAUCAAUGGAUCUUAACUGGUGUAAAAGUUUAAUUUGUGUGUGUUUACUCACCAACGUACACAACAGAGGACUUUGGUUUCGUUGCCAAGUCAACAACAGGGGACCAACAUUAAGUGGACGUUUUGGUGGACUGUGGUUGGUCGUUCUUUUGGUGAUGCUGAGGGUAAGAUGAGAGUUUUUAGUGUUUUUUUUAACAUCAGUGGUAAAUAAUAUGGCUCUAUUUGUUUUCUCAGCAUUUUGAUUUAAAAAAAAAAAGCACCCUUGCAUCGUAAAGUUUCCUCUUUUGUUGAUGAUACUAUUCUUCUUUCACAGCGUAAAUGGGAUUUUAAUGUGUUUACUUAUUCUGUGAAACAUAUUGUUGCAUUUGCAUAACAAAUAAAGGAGUAAUUGUUUUGAUUUAUUAAGAAAAAUGUGAAUUUUGCCUCCUUAUUGUUGAUCUCUCAUACAAGUUGUGAAGUAUUAACCCAAUUUACCCAAAUGAAAGCAAACAAGAACACUGACGAAAAACUAGCAAUUGUUCGUUUAAUUUUUUAAUGGUAGUAGCAGUAAGAGGUCAUAGGUGUCAGACAAGACCAUCUGUACACUGAAGGAACUGCAAUUAAUCACAAUAAAAAGGGUAAGAUGGAGUAAUACGGAGUUAGAUGUUCUUGCAAACAAGCACCAAGCAGACGUAAACUGAUAGCCUGUCUCUUAGGGGUGUGCAUGAUACGAGUAAACGACUGCCACAUGCACCUCAAUUUUCAGAGAUCUAAAACUGAAAAAGAAAAACCUACUUACUCAAAAAUAUUCACAUGAGCUCAGACGCUGACUGAGGAGUCUUAAGGAACUACAGGAAAGUAGUUCCCGCCUCUUUGUUUAAAAAAGUACUCUGUCAGUUGCUGUACUUUCUCACUGACCUGUGCGUACAUGCUGUUGUUCGUCCCCAGAGUUUGAUUCUUGAAGGUCGUAAAUUAAGAGGGAUCCACUGAGUUCAGUGAGAAACGCCGCCGUCACUUCCAUCUCUUUGGAAACGGAGAACAUUUGCGUCCUGCUGGCGCAGUCAUGCAGCAGUAAAGAGUGCUGCAUCGGGCUGGAAGCAGUAAAUUAACUUCUCCCUUUCUCCUCCAUAACCGCUCUGCAUCCUGUUUACCAAGUGUUCCUCUCGGCUUUGAGCUACGGCCUUUGGCUCCUGGUGUAAUGUACAGUAUCAAAUUGCUUCUCUUAAAGGAGCAAUCAUGCAGCACUCCAGGGGAUGCCGAGCAAAGUAAUUGAACAUUCGCCGGUAAGCCGUUGACGUACAGUGUGACACCUCUGGGCUCUGACCGCUGGGUGUUUCAGUUUGCUUUUGCCUGGGUCAUAAAUAUGUGAACGGCCUUGAAUCCCAGCUGGGAACCACUGGGAACACUGGAGGCGAAUGACAGACACUUCCUCCCCUCCCCCAUACUCAGGACAGAUUUACUGAGGGCUCUCUCCAGGUGUAAAUGAACUGAAUCCUUAAAGGAGCCCAGAGGGUGAAUUUUGAUGCACAUCUCCACCGGAGAAAAUGUCAGACCCUGCUGAAAACCCCUCUCAUUCAGGCAGUACAGUAUCUCAAUGCUGACAGUAAGUAUUGAAUGGGUUUCCCAUCUUCUCUCUCCAUAUUCUCCCACCCAUCUACCUCAUACCUGUGAAUAGAAAUGAGGUGAAGGCAUCUGCAGGACUAACAUAACAUUUGACAGCAGGACACCCUCCUCUCGGUCAGAUCCCUGCAUCAUGGCUGCACUUAAACACGCAGAUCACCAACCGUGCUGAACUGUAAUUGCCAUUCAGCAAAUAUCUGAGAGUGUGGGGCUGCGGCGUGCACGCUCAUAAACCCCCUCGCUGGAAUAUCUGCUCCUACGCAUGAGGGUAUUACUCACCACGCUGUUAUUGUUCGCAAAUAAAACCAAAGAGUAAUAAAGGAGGUCCUUUAAAAAUUCAUGUGAGCUGAAUGAGCUGGAUGCUAAGCGCUGUGGGUGGCGGAGCGUGAGCGGCGUAUUUGUGUGUGUGUGUGCGUGUUUGAUGGGGGAGUAAGUAUGAAGCUUUAUUCUAAAUUAUUCUGGUCAUUAAGCUGCAUCAGCGUCUGUGUGUCACAGCUCUCUGCCCCUGACUGAGUGUGUGUGUGUGUCUGUAGAGUUUGUGUGUUUGCAGACAAUAUAUGCAUUUAUGGAGAUGACUAAUGUAUUCAUAUUACUUGAGUGCAGGUGUGUUUUCAUAUGCGUAUAUGAAGAGUUAGUGCUUGUGUGUGUAUGCAUGGCUUGGUAUGGAUACACUGUAUAAUGGUGGCGUGCAUCUGUGUGUGUGUGUGUGUGAGAGAGAGAUUGCACUCUUACAUUUGCAUUCAGUGAACCUGUGUGAGUGCAAAUGUUUGUCCUGGUGUAUUGUGUGUGUGUGCAUCUCUGUGAUGGUAUUAUGUGUUUGUGUUCCUGUGUAGAGUAUGUGCACGCCUAUUAUUCAUUCUCUUUAUUCAAAUAUGAGCGCAUGAUACUCUGUUGUGUUUUAGUGUGCGGUCUCUUGUCUUGACUGGGACCAGGUUAAGAAUAAAGUACAUGCAGAAAGUUUUCAAUAACAUCUCCUAGAGCUACGAAGUGUCAUGCAUUUUAGAGGAAAUAUGAACACCUGUUUAUGUGUAUGGUUGCUUUGAGUAAAACUGGACCAUUUUAAAGUUUAGUUUGGGGUCUUUAUUGUAGUUUAAAGUUUAAGUAUUUUGUCAUAUAUAUAAAUAUGUAUAUGCCGACAACACAUGGGCUUACACGUCACCAAAUAGAAGCUAUCUCAUCCUCUUUUCCAGGCUUUGAGACAAAAUUAGCAGCUUGAAACAUCAAAUUUAAUCCAGUUUUUUGCUCAUCCUGCUGCGUCUUUUAUUCCCUGACUUUUGGUGAGCGAUUUGGUGAGUAAGUUUCUCAGGUCAUCAUAUUUGACAUGGAUUCAGGGUUAAAAUUCUGUUUUAUUUACGCAUUUUGUUUCCUUAGUUUGAGCUCAGACAGAACAUUUUCAGACCACUUUUCAGCACUGAUUAUUCCUGUACAUGUUUGUCAUAUCCAAAGGUGAUCAUAUUCUGAAUCCCCAAAAUUUGGAGGAUUUUCGGGUCGGGUGAAGUGUUUUUUACACACUUCUAACUCCAGGUAGUCCACGGUACACAAACUGGACACAAACUUCCAUACAAAACCCGGAUAUUUGAAGGAUUUUAUAAACUUCCCCUGGACAGGCCGGACAGCCCCCAAACAGAGGACAUGUUCGGGUAAAAGAGGACGUAUGGUCACCCUAUCAUAUCCUCCUCCUCAAAAAUCAUUUCUUUAUUUAUAAAUCUUUAUUUAUAAAAUCAUUAUGGAGAAAAUGCCCAAAUAACACCCACAGCGAGGGAUAUUUUGGCUUUGCUGUUGAACGACAGGAGCGGUGCCAUCUGAACAGGAACGCCAACACCACAAAAGUGAGAGUAAAAAGUACUUUUAAGGGUUUUGGAUGUUAGUCAAAAAGUUUCCAAAACUCCUCCUGGGAUGCUCACACGCUGAGGCGAUAUCACCGUGUUUGAAAGUUGAUCUACUCCCUUUCUAAUCCUCCCCAACAGGGGAAUAUAUUCCUCUAUUUUCCUACGCAAAGCUCUUUGCAUUUAAACAUUUUGAGCUCAUUUGUCAACAUUUCAUGAAACCAGACUGACCUCACUUGCUCUUUCACUUACCUCUAUCUGCCUCCGUCCAUCACUCCGUUCCUCUCUCGCCUCCCAAAGUAUUCCAUUAUUCAACGAUUCACCUUUAGCACCUCUCCUCUCCCGCUGUCUCUGGCACUAAAUCUACUUUCAGACUUUAUUGUCCUUGAAAUUAGGUUUGCAGCAAAGUCCGCCACACAGAACAUACAAUAAACAAAAUCUACCGGAACAUAUGAGACACAGACGUUUAAGAUGAACCGUGGAACGAGAGGAAGAUUGACUGACCGGAGAGUCUGGGAGCCUCUGCCUCCUAUUUUCCUUUAUCUUCUCUCACAGAUGUCCAUCUAUCUCUCUCGCCUUUAUAACUCCUCUGGUCUGCACCUGUUCACUCAAUUUAAAAGUUCCACACGUAGAUAUACAACUACCAAAGUGUUUCUCCUUGUGCUGUGAGUCAAAGUUACUCCAUGAAAAUACUUGUGUAACAGUUUCUGUCAAACUCUGUCCAUGCAGACCUGACUAACCCUUCUUUGUUUCUGUCUUUUGCUUGAUUCAGAUCACCUGGACUUGGUGUUUCGACAGCAUGAAAGUCCAACUCCAGCGCUGCUCGCUCCGUCAUUUCCCCUGGUCUCAUCCCAGCCAUCAUAUUAGUCCUGGCUCUUGAUCUUCGUCAUGUCAAAGUAAGCGGUUUCCAACAUUUCUCUCUUUGGAGGGUUAGGGUUAGCAAAGUUUGGGUGUUUGUUGGGAAAGGAAGAACCGAGUGUUUGGGGAUGACUUUGCAGGGUAAGAAAAAUGAUUACCUUGUUCCUGUUGAGAGAGUUGAUAUGGUUCAGUAUGUGUAUACUGCUUUGGUUGGACAGACAGUUUCGGUACGGUACUUAUUGGGCUGGUUUUCUUGUUCUUUCUGUCAUUCUAAUGGCUCUUAUUCUGUGCAAUGACUCUUGACUUUAUAGAUGAACUUUUGAACAUCCAGGAUAGGAAAGGACAACAUUUCAGCACUUUUUAUGGCAAGCUUAGAAGUUUUUUUUUUUUACAUGAAAACAACAGAUAAAGUACUUAAAAGGAAGUUGGGACCUUUUCACACUGUCUGAGUUAGUACUUGAACUGUUUCACUGAAAACAGAAGAGGACCAAGAGUGUAGCCCUGAGGAACACCGUAAUAAUUUUGUGUAGAAGCUUGUUUUUUUCCAUCCGUCCUUUUUGAAAUGCAUAAUUUUGCACACUUAAGGAAGACAAGCUCAAGGUAGACUGGAUAAGGACAUGAUGGACCAAACCUAAAACCUCCAAAAUUGGGAACUCAUGACACCUUUUAUUUUUUUAUCUUGCCAGAAAUGAAGUUAAGCAGUGUGUUCUCUUCACAUAUUAGUCCACGGUUCCUUAUUUUUGGAAAUACCCACUUUUCUAUUUUAGAAAACAGUGUUUUAGAACUGUGGUAAAAGUUUAGAAACAUAAAUAUUUUUCCAUACUUAAUUUUUCAUUGUCCACACAUUUUAAGACCUGGAAACUGAUCACAUUUAUUUCUGUAUUUUUUCCUAUUUUCCAUCCUUGUGUCGAAACUCUGUUUGUCAUAAUCUAGGUCACUGAGAGAUUAAGGUCAAAGUCAGAAAAGGAUUUUUACAGGUUUGAAAAAAAAAAAAACACAUUUCGGAUUUAUCUAUUAAAAUUGUCCAAAUAUUCCAGACUGUCUAAACCAAAUUACAUAGUAAAACGUCCUGAAUUUGUCCUGGAAGAAGCAUAAAUGAGCCCGGCUUGUGCAAAAAUCCACAAACUUUUCUUCAAAUUGCGCCUUUUUUUUGUUUUUUAAGAUUUCUAUAUUCUACAACCCUUUGUUUUCUUUUAAAAAACAUAUUUCCUUAUUCAGAAAGCCUCAUUUUAACUGUCCAAAGAUAUAAUCUCUCCAACACUUUCUUCUUUUUCUUUUCCUGCGUUAAGUUCAGUCUCUGUUUUUCUUUCUUUCUCCUUCUCUCUCAUCUCAAACGUAAAUUAGAAAGAGUCCAUUAGAUUCCCCUAAAUGUACACCUACACACAUGCACACCCGCACAGAAAUGCAGACACAUGCCUGUUUCAGACCAUAAAUCGUUGUCUCCAUUAUAGCUCUGCCAAUAGCGCCUCCAUGCUGGCUGCACAGCUUCUUUAUGGUGCAGGUUUGAUGUAUACACGGGGCUUGAUCAGGCGGGCGGGGCUAGUGACAGAAUGAGGCUGGGAAAUGAGCGAGAGAGAGAGAAGAACACUGGACCGAUACCGAACACUGAAGAGACAUAAAGAGAGAGAGACAAAAAAUGUAAGAGACGACACAGCUGUCGGACAAUGUGCAAUCAAAACCUGAGUGGGUUGUUUUUCUGCAGACGCCCACAGACAGCGGCAAGUGACGUGUGAAUUUUCCAGUUUUUAUCCACGUCUGAUUGUUGUGUAUCUGUACUGUUUAUCUGGUGCACAAUCUUACAAUAUAAUAAUAAUAAUAAAAAUGAUGAUGCAGUUUGGGAUAAAUUUAUCACAGUUUUGCUUCAAUCCUUAAACAUUUCAGAUUUUUUAAAAUAUUUUUUUUCUGCAAAACUGAAACCUGAUAAAAGCCUGAUUCAUCACUUAAAGCUCCUGUGACGUUAAAUUCAUCCUGAUACUUGAACACGAUACUGAGAGUAAAGCGACUUAAAAGUCACCUAUAGGGUUGGGCACAAAUUAUACUGUGUACGGUGGGUCAACUUAAAUAUCCAACUAACUUUAGCCCGUGUACUUUUUCAUAGAAAAAUGAUCUGACAGCAAAAAUUCAAAGUUAAGUUCUUAAAAAGUUAAUUUAAUUUAAAAUUUCAUGGAAAAGUUCAGAAAUUUCAUCCAAAAAGAAGAACUCUGGUUAGCGCCCUCAUUUAAACCAUGCAUUAUUCUUUUAAUAGAGAAUAUUUAGGAAUCGGAAUUGAAAUGAAGAAUCGGAAUCAGAUCCGGAAUCGUUCAAAAUCAAACGAUACCCAACCCUAGCCACCUAUAACUGUGAUGUGUGCGUACUGUUGCUGUGCGUUCAGAGAAGUACAGUUUGUUGUUGUGGUUUCUAACCUUCAUCCCACGGCUGAGCUCAGCGUUUUCACCGUCUUUAUCUCUUGUAGUGCCAUUAAGCAGCUGUCCUGUAGCCUUAUGGCUUUAGGUGUGACAUUAUAAAGAAUAAUGGCGCUCUAAAAUAUAACAUGUUCAGCUGCUUGUAAAAGACUGCAGUUUACAACCGCUGCAAAACUUUACCCGCUUUUUUCUUCUUCUUUAUUUCAGGAGAAGUUUUAAUAACUCGACUCUUUUGUUUUAAGCAGAGAAAUUUAAUUGUUUGUAUAAUGUUGGUAUAAUAAAAGUGAAAAUAAUAAUAAAUGUGAGAGCUCCUCUUAACAACAGCAGAGGCAGAGAGAAGCCCGUCCUCCCUCUGGGCUGCCUUGAAGCUCUAAGCCUGUCGUAAAUGCUAUUCUAAUGUGUGUGUAUUGUAUAGGUGUGUGUGUGCGGCUGCUGCAGUACUGUCAAUAAGUGCUUGAUGGCUGAGCCUGUGACUGCCUCUCUCUCUCUCUCUCUCUCUCUCUCUCUCUCUCUCUCUCUCUCUCUCUCUCUCUCUCUCUCUCUCUGCAGCACAGAGGAGAUGGAUGGUGAAAGAGCCGGGCCCCUCAGCCACUUUUAUCUCCCCUUUUCCUCUCCUCCAUCACUCUGUCCUGAAUCUUCUGCCAUUUUCCCCCUCUGGUCUCCCUCCUCUCUCUCUUUCUCUCUUUUAAACUUUUUUUUCUGUGAAUGGAUGUUUUCCAUUUCCCUCCCCUGCAGACACUCUUUGUAUAUACAGUCCUUUACGUCUCUGUGAGCUCUCGCUUCGCUCCUCUUCAGCUUUAAAAAUACCGUUUAGGCUGGAAGUCUACAAAUCUCUCUGCUUAUCUGCCUCUGUUGUUUUCUGCUCUCUCUCUCUCUGUGCAUUGUGUAUUUUUUAGGGCUGUUUACUCUCUAACAGAAUUUUCUAUGAGCCCUUACUGUGGAAACAAGGUCACUGCCGUUGUUUUGAAAGGUGUACAUUUUAAUAUCUGCUGUAUUUGAUGUCUACCUUGAAACACUUCACCUUUCCUGUCUCUUAUUUUUAUGUUUUAUUAAUAAUAUUUGUAUAAUUCCUCCUGUUCUGGAUCACUGUUUAAUUCAGGUGACGACACAGAAAACUGAUGAAAGUAAAAGCAACACUUUUUAAAGUUUUCGUUAGGGCUGUCCUGAUACAAUUUUUUUUACUUCCGAUACCAUACCGAUAUUGUAGCCUUCAGUAUCGGCCAAUACCGAUAUUGAUCCGAUAAAUAUCCAUUAAAUAAAAUUUACUCAACUGCAGAUAGUGCAACCUUUGGUCUCCUGAACCUAAACAGAAGUGAUUUAAAAAGGGACGUGUACACGACUGUCCCACUGCGCUCACGACAAUUGCACACUUCGAGAGAGACUUUAGGACAAAAGUGCGAUCAAAAAUCUUCAAGAUUACUAGAUUAAAGAGAAGCUAGUGCAGUUUGUGAUUGCCAAUUCAUUCAUGCAUAUUUACCCAAUUCAAAGCAGAUUGAAGUGGACCAUACUGGAGGUUGGUUUUUAUUUGUUUUUCAAACUGGUUCAACGUGGCAUUCGAGUUUUCUAGCAGGUGCCAGAUUAACUGACUGAGAAUUUAAAGAGUAAAAUCCAAUAAACUUAUGUGCACAACAGCAGAGAUGAUAAAUGUGAGCAUUUUUAAAACUCAAACAUUGGUUUUGGUGUAAGUGUAGACGACAUAAAGACUAAUAAACCUGUACCUUUAAUUUGAAGGUCUCAUUUUUCCAUUUAAUCCUAGUCCAGCCUCUGUGGACCAAUAACCACCCUCCCUUAAAUUAGGUACAAAGACAGCCAGCUUUUGGACAGGGGGACAAUGACCACCAACCUUUCAAUUAGGAGAUUAUGACAGCCAACCAGUCUGUUAGGAGACAAUAUCAGCCAAGCUGUCAAACAAAGAACGACGGCCAACCUUUUGGCUGGACGAGAAAGGACGCCAACGUUUGAUGAAGAGCUGACAACUGCCAACAUUUUCAACCAGGAGACAAAGACCACGAAACUCUCUACCUGGAGACAUCCAUCCAUCUGCUACUGCUUCUCUGGAGUCGGGUUGCAGGGGCUAGUGAAGACAGUGACCACUGAUCUUUUGGACUGGGAGAUGAUGACCCCCAAACCUUGGAGACAACGACUGCCAACCCUUUGACUGAGUCCUGGUCUUCUCAUACCUUUAGAUGGUGGACAGUGACUGCUAACCUUUAGAUUUAGAGACAUGGACUUUGGGAUGGGGGUGUCAGCCUUUAGUUUGGAGAUGUUGGCUGCUAACCUCUUUACUGGAUUUGUGUUAAGUCCACCUCUGAGUCAACCCUGAUGAGCCCAGGAAGAAUCACGUGUCAGCCAAGCGAGAGGGAAGUGGAGAUAAACAGAGAAAUAAAGGAAAGCUUUAUAGUUUCCACAAAGUCUUGAUUCCCACAACAUCCUGAGAAAUAUGUCUUCAUUGGGCUCAUUGUACUGCGACAAAGCUAUCUCAAACCCUACAAUGAAAUGGCAGCAGACUCUUUAUUGAAGGGUAUUCCAGAUGGUAUGACAGUCAAACAGAGACCUCAGGCUGGGCCUGUUGUGUAAUUAGUGAGAAUGCUGCCUGCAAGAGAGCAAUGAAAAACAAAAAGCAGCCAUCUGAAUGAAACCACAAUGAAACUGAGAGCCGUUUCAUGGUUCUUCUGAUUGCCUGGCUUUCACUGGUGAUAUACAGCGCAAUUACACAGUCUCACACCGAGUUGGCGGGCGGGUGGGCGGGCGGGUUGUGGGUCGAGUGGGAGUUUGAAUACUAAAACCAUUGAUGGUUUAAUAGCCACCGGCUAGUUUUGGCUCCAGUUCAGAAAAUGUGAAGUCUGAGCUAAUCAGAGCUGAUGGUCUCCUGCGGUUUCUAAAGACAGUUCAUAAUCUGCCGUUAGAGCGGACUCUCACAGAUUCUAAAUAUUGUAUUAUUAUAUUCUCUGUAUGCAGCGCAGCUACAGGCCAAAGCUCCCACCGAUCUCCCUGAAUAUUUCAUUUCUCUCUAAACUCAGAUAAACUGGGUCUUUAUCUCCGCUCCAGCUUUGGGUUAAACUCAGAGUCAUGAAAUUUCGUGGGAUAAAAGGCCUUGAAAGGCUGCUCAUGUGAUGUGGGUUUGAAUGAGGUUUUCACUCUUUUCCACGAAACGACAAUACCAGAUGGGACUAUGAUGGGGGUGUUAGCUGAGCUAUACAACCUGCUUGUAAUCCUACUACACACAUGAGAUUAACUUUAGCUCAGAUUUAGGCAUCUUAGGUCAGCUUACACUUAAAAUAAGGUAAACAGCAAUGAAGACCAGGUUUGAAGUCCUGAUCCAAGUCCUUCAUAGGCGUUGAGGAUGACCUCAAUGGCAUCAGAGGAAGUAUGUUUGAUAUGUAAACUAAUUUCAGAUUUUAUGAGGAAUUUUGGAGAAAUAGUAGGUGAUUUCUGGAUAUGUAAAAGAGGUUCUAGUGGACAGCUAAAGGUUACCUAACUAACUUGUUACCUUGAUGUGGGGGAAGUCUCAGAAAAUCCCAGGAACCAACCAACCAUUGGGAUUCAGGUUUUAAGCCAUGGCUACUUUGCAACUCUUGUCCUUGGUUAGUCUUCUAUAAAUGAAGACAUAAAUUAGAGAGUUCUUGAACACGCUGGAAUAGAAACAACAAAACUCUAAAACAGUUGAGAAUGAAAAGAGAAACCACCUGGAGGAACACCUCCCAACUAACAGGGUAAUUUCCAACAGGUUAGUAACAAACGGGGCGUCCAAGUCUCUCAGAAUGGGAAGUGUGAAGUGGUCACCGAUUUGUGUGAGACUGCAUGUGGAAAAAAUCCAACGGUUCCUUUACAAACCUACGUCCAGAGAAGAUGGUGAAAACAUCUUUUCAUAACUACCAUCAUAGUUAUUUAGUCGAGGUGCUCCACUCUGGUCCUCUGAAACAAAUAAGGUAUUUGUUAUAAAAUCUCAGAUCUGGGUGGAAGUUUACUGCAAAUUCUGACCAAACCAAACGCCUAAUACGGUGGUCUUUUCUUCUACAUCUUUAUUCUUCUGCAGUAAAUUUUCCUUUUAAAGAAUUUGAUGGCAUCUGCAGCAUGAUUGUACAUACCACAUUCUGUUGGUUGCUGUUAUAUUUUCAAGCUUGUUUUAUUUGAAGGAAAUCUGCAUGUUGUACAAGUUUUAUGGAGAAAAUUCAGUCUCUAAAUUUAAAUUCAGUGGGACUGACUUUUUCUUACCCUGAGUGAAUGAGCAGCUUCCAGGAUUCAGUUGAACUUCAUCGUUUUUGUUUUGUUUUCUUGAGUUUUUCCACUGAUCUGUUGAGUGUUUUUCUGUCUGCCACACUUUCAUGUUAUCUCUCCCUCCUUUUUUCUCCAUUAUCUUUCAUCCACACCUCAGUUUUCUGGUCUCUCACCACUGGUGCUUGUCUUGUGUUGUAUUACCAGGAUGUUUGGCUCUGGUGGCCAUGAGACAGCAGAGAGAGAGAGAAACCAAAGGAGGCCACCGAAGUGCGUGAGUCUCCAGAUGGAAGUUUUCUUGCUGCUUUGAUCAUCCAUUUGUCUUUGGAGCGAUUUAUCCACAGUGUGGGUGUGAAAGUAAUGUCAGCACAGAGUGAUUAAUGCUGCAAAAUGUUUCCCUAAUGUGAGGAGGAACGGAGCCGGUGGGUGAAUUACAAUAUGUUUUCAGAGGAGGAAAUAGAACGUCGAGAUCUCAGAGCCAGAAGAGCAGUUUUUAUCAUACAGAGAGACAGGAGUGGAGGAACAGUUCGGGAUGGCCCUGUAGUAAAUAAAACACCAUAAACACCAUAAAUAUCCUCGCUGGUGCUCUUCCCCUGGAAAAUUCAUAACAAUGUUCCCCCUGAUAUCCCACCAACAUGCUAAGAGUGCCGUCUAAAAGCCCUAUGAGUGUAUAAAACAUAAGAAGACUUUUAAUGCCUUUUCAUAUUAUUGAAAAUAUAAAGAAAUGCUCUUUUAAGCCUUUUAACAUGCAAAAGUGUCCCCCCAAACUUACAGUAUGAAACUGUGGAAAAAGGACCCUGUAAACUGUUACACCCCUGCACAGCGAGCUGCAAGGGGAGAAAUAGGAAGAAAGACAAACGCGCUGUUGCUGGCUUUCAGUCCACAGUGUAAUGAACUGUAAAGAUUAGCAUCAGCAGUUCGGACAAACACAAGAUAAACUCUCUAAACCGAUUCUACAUAUAACCCCCCAUCACAUACAUUUAUAUAUAUAUUAAAACAAAACCACAUGAACAGUUUUGUGUAUGUUUUUUGUACUUUUCUUACCUGUAAGGGUAGAAAUAGAAAGAAAGACAAACGAACUGUUGCUAGAUUUUAUUCCACGGUGUAAUGAAGAGUCGCAAGCAACAUGCUCCCCCUGCUGGCUAAAACCGGAAGUGUCUGACACUAUCAAAACCAAUUACCAAUAUAAACUUACACUUUACUAUUUAACACACUUUAAAGAUGAAUUUAAACCGUCAACAAUACAAACUCUUUUUCUGUUUAUGCCGUUUUUACUGUUUUUAACAUUGUUCCACCUUUUAAGUUCAAUAUCACUCAUAUCCAUUACAUACCUGCUCAGCUGGGUGGAUGACAUGAAAAGAAAUGAGGCAGCCGGCAUAAGGACUAAUACUAUGAACUCACUAUUUUCUUAUUUUGACGCAAUUUCAAUAUCACAUUUAAAAAAAAAAUUGAUGGUUAUCGUCUUCAUCGGUCUAUAGCGACAAACCUAAUACAACAAAAGUAAAACCUUUUUCUUACACUUUGCAAAUCCCUGAACUACAAUCUUUCAACUUCUCUGUCUCUUAUCGUCAUCGCAGGGUUAAUUAAACUCACUUUGAAAGGAUGAGCUGUUGCAUAUUUAACAACACUAACUUGAGAAAAGAGCCUUGUACAAGACAUUGACACUAGACGUCUGCUUAGUCAUACCUGAAAUGCUAAUAAAAAUCUGCAGUAAUUAGACAAAAUCUUGAGCUCAACCUGUCCUCUGCUCCUCAGACUGUGGGAAGGGUCUCUGCUCUGUCCUGGGGAGUGGGUCUCCGUACAUGCAGAAGGCGUCCUCUCCUCACAGCUCUGCUCCGUUGCCAGUUAUCCGAUCGAUAGCAUCACUUAACUCCUCUCUGAGGUGCUGUGAACCGGUGUCGCCGACCCGCCUGAGCUGCAAACCACAUUAACUAAUAAACUGCAAACCUUCUAGAGGCGCAUUUCCAAUACUUUGGCAAAACAGGACCUGUGGAAAGACUUCAUAGCUCAUGAGGACACAUCAGUGUGCAGAGGUAAGACUCUAAAUACUGCACAGCUAUAGCAACAAGGGAGUCAACAUAGACAGUAAAAAAAGACGCUUCAUCUGAGUCUAACUCUGUAAAGGAGUCUCCCAGGUUGAUGAAUUCAGACGAAUUUGUAAUUCACGUAUUUUAGCACUUCUGUCAAAGUCUUUUUCGGUGGUGAAAGUGAAUCAUUAAUUUUGUUUGUGUGAAGACAACAUAAAGCUUAAAAAAAGCACUCGAAAUAAUCGAAAUUGAGAAGAGUUUAUUUAAAAUGACUGAACACUGAGCGUUGCUAACACUAGCAGAGCUAGCACCACCAGAUUUUGGUCCUUCCUGCAGGUGAACAUCCACCUGCCUGUGCUGGUUACACUUUGCUCCAAUCAAGUGGCAAUACUUGAGUUUAACCCAAAAAAACCUUACUGACAGAUCCCUUUGAGCCACAUUUGUCAUCUGUGUUCAUUUACAUCCAGGUAGUUGAGGAUUGUAGCUUUGGGCCUAAAGUAAUAAAAGUACUCAUGUUUGGUGAACCAAUUGGUCUUUCUAAUGCUGACAUGCAAAGGUUUGCACAUGUCCGACUUGAAGUGGCAUUUUUAGACAUCAUAGAAAGGCUCUGGUCAGCUUUCAGACAGUCUCUGGUACUUUAAACAUCCCUUAAAAUCAGAAGAGUAGAAGAUAUGGAAACGUCUCCCUGUGAAAACGAAGACAAAAAAGUGGACUAGGUUGUUCUGAGGUUUCCCAAAUGGGCCACACCAUGAUCGCUCCUCCUCCUCCUCCUCCUCCUCCUCCCCCUCCACUGUUCUCGAGGCCAGCGGGCGGAGGGAGCGGUGACUCUCGGUGGUAAAAGGUGAUUUAUACACUGCGUAGGAUGCAGUCACUGGCAGGAUCGCUGAGGCAAGGGCAGAGGAGGGAGGAGGAGGAGAUAGAAGAAGAGAGAAGAGAAGAAAACGGGUGAAGAGAAAAACAGGAUGAUACAGAUAUACUCAAAUCAGACUACCAGAAAUAAAGAGGAAGGAUGAAUGAAUAAAAGCAUGGAGUUAGAGGAGAUAAUGAUAAAGGAGGGAUAACAAGGGAGAGAGUGAGGAGAUGUUGCAAGGCGAGGUCAGAGGAGGAAGAGGAGGAGGUAUAAAACGGAGGAAACGCAGAGAGAGAGAGGAAGAGGAAAGCAGGAGUGACAGAAGGGACCUCCAGAGGAAAAUGAUGGGAGGUCAGGACGGGACAUGAGAGGGGAGGGCAGUGAAGAUGGGAGGAUGGAGGAGGAAGAGGGGGGAGAUGGAGAGAGGUGUUGUGGAGAGCAGAGAGAGGACAGGUGCUGCUUUCAAAUGAAUGUGUUACUAAAGCAGAGCUGACAGGAUCCAGCAGGACGUUUCUCCAGAGGUGAAUCUAUUACGGGCAGAAAUAUGUCACCAGAAACCCAAUUUAAAUCUCCCUUUCUCUGUUUUAAUCCUUAUAUAUGUUAAAAAAAAAUACAUGUAUAAAAAUAGAACUUGUUGAAAUGAUUUGUAUUGAAAAUCUGUUUACAAUUAUUUGGACUGAGAGCUGCAUAACAAUCAAGCAGAAACAGAAAUUUAAUUCACUUGCUCUGCAUUAGAGGUUGAGGAAAUUCAACUCUGCACGCCUGCACAGUCACAUUAGCAAUUCAAUAUAACAGACUGACAUAGAAAAAAAGACAACUUUAUUUAAAAAGCACAUUUAAAAACAGCAGCAUGGAUCAGCUGAUGAACAACCUCAUCAAGAAACAAUGUAAACAUUACAGACACGGUUGAAAUAAUACAAUAAAUUUGUUGUGUUGUACGUAGAGGAAUUAGAUCAACUUAGAAAUGCAGAAAUUUAAAGCUAAUUAAGUUUCAUUUUAUUAAGAGUAUGAUUCAAGGCUGGACUCAGGGUCAACAGAGUGGGAUGGUCUGAAGUAGGAGUGUGAUAAAAUAUCAAUAUGGCAAACUACUGUGAUAUUUAACAUAACGAUGGAUUAUUGAUGCACGCUCGCUGCGUAUAAUUUUUUUUUGUAUUAUCAUUAAACCACAGUGAUUCAAGUCACCGUAUUACAUGUCAUCCAGGAGGCGCUCCUGGUGUGAGUGAGUGAAUAUUGGGCCGAAGUCAGAAAAAACAAACAGAGAAAAUAUGGCGGACUCUGGGAGCGGUGAAGUUAGACUGAAGGAUGCACCGGCUUUGUCUAAAUCAAGAGUAUGGACACACUUUGGCCUUUAUAGUGUGGACGGGACUAAGCUGGAAAAGCACUCUGCAGUAUGCAAGAAGCAUCUCUCAAAAAUUUGUGACACAGACGAACGAACAUGUCCAGCCUCCUCGUUCACCGCCGUCCUGAGCUUGCAGAGAAAACUGUACCUGUUAGCUCCUCGGUACAGCUAACUUUUGACUCUUUCUUUCAGACAGAGCUUCUUUUUAGUUCAACCAGAGCUACAGCAAUUGCACAUAUCAUUUCUGUGUAUAUUUGUAAGGACCUUUUUCUGUACAGCAUUGUGGAAAAUGAGAGGUUUUGCUUCAUGAUGGGGGUACUCGAGCCAAGAUACGAGUUACCCAGCCGUAAAAAACUAUGCUCACUGAAAAAACUAUGCUGCAAAUUAUAAACCAUGAAAUGUAUUUUAUUUUUCUUUCACCCUUAUAAAUACACAGAUGUAUCAUAGGUUAUGUAUUGAUAAUCGCAGUCUCGCCAUAUCGAGAUAUUAUCGUUAUCGUGAGCCAUGUAUCGCGUAUCAUAUCUUGAGGUACCCUGAGAUUCCCAGCCCUAUUCUGAAGGGUAAAAGACUGUAGAGUCUGUGAGUCUCUCUCUCUCUUCUCUAAACCCAGUUCAGUCUCAGCAGAUGACGGCCUAACAUCAGUCUGGUCCUCCUCGAGGUUUCUGCCUGGUAAAGGAAGUUCUUCUUCGCCGCUUUAACUUGAUAAACACUUAUUUUUUUUCACUCAUGUGGUUGGAGAUGGGAUGGCAGUGAGUUGAGAUAACACUUGUUGUGAGUUGGCGCUUUAUAAGUAAAGAUUAAUCGAUUUGUUGAUUGACCUCUAAGUUUGAGGUCACAGAGGUUUAUUUAUGAAGCUCAUUUUGGCAGAAAGGCAGUCCACACAAAGGUCGAAAAAACAUACCAGGCAAUAAAAAUUGAGGAAAACUUCCAGUGAAAAUAAUAAAAGACGGUUCAAAAAUACUGUGAAGUGUUGUCGUAUCAAAAUACUUGAGUAACCCAGCUUUGAGUCAGAGACUGCUCUAUCUGAGGACAACUGUAGCCUAGCCAUACACUUCCUAGUCAUGUGUAACUUAUACAACCCUCUUUAAAAAUGCAGAACUAUCCCUUUAAUCAGAUUUGGCCUGAUGACAGACAGUCACAAAUCUGCAGAGUAGAAGAGGUCGGCGGUAGAGGAUGAAUUUUAGUGAAUCACACAUUCGUAUCAAAAAUGCCAAAGGGAGUUUAUUGGAAAGUCUAAAAAGUCGACGUCAGGAUAGACGAAAUCUUUGAUCUCUGUCUGGAUUUUCAGGAUGCGCUCCUCUCUCUCAGGCUGCUGCCAGAAAUCGAUGUCAAAUGAUUUAUAACUUUCCCCACAAUAACGCGAGUGGAUGCGUUUCCAAAUAUUGCCUGCUUGAGCUUUUGCAUUAUCACUUUAAAAGUUCAGAAAACUAUUACCCAGACCUGACAUUAAUUAACUUCCAGAGUCUGCACUCGCCUGUGAAGCUGCAUUAAUACAGCAUGAGGUAAACUCCGUGUUCUCACUUCUCCAAAGAGACCAUUAAGACUUCACACACUCCAGCAGACCCACACACCUCACACAUUAGACGUGACAAGCUAGCGCCCCAGCAAUGGCAAUCAAUGGACUCCUAAACUUUGGACUCAAUGCCGCAUACGUAAUGAGAAAAAUAAAUUUCCCCCCUGUGCAUGGGCUGGAGUGCUGCAGUAAGCUGUUUCAGGACAGCGCUCACUCUGACCUAUCCACAUAAAGUCCAGAGGCAGACAUAAAUAACGGGCCGGCGUGUUGAAGAGGACGGCUAUUGAUUACUGAGAGAGGCUGGAUGACACCGGAGCCAGAGAGGGGCUGAGCUUUGGUAUCUUUGGAAUGAAGGCGCUGUGAGAAACAUGUUUGUAGGAAGUGACGAUCAGGUAACAUACAGCGUUGAAUGCAUGACUGAAAAUUAACAUCUAUGUGUCUGGGAUGUUGAAGAAUCUGUCAGCGCCUCUAAUGUGGAAACGAUUAAAAUCAUGAAAUAACCUGACUAACUAACAAGACAACAUUAGAGAGCGUUUGAAGUCCUCUGCAUCAUCCCAGUCCACAUAAUCCAAGAUCAGGUCCAAGCUCCUUAGCUCUUGUCUUCUCCUGCAAAGAUCUCAUCUAAAACUGGAGUAUUGUUAAAGGUGAGGUAAAACGGAGGUAGACCGGACAAGAGCUAAAAAGCCGGGUCAACAUAAACGAUGGGGGACGCUUGGGGAUCUUGGUGACCCUGUAACCUUUCUGCUGGACAGGUAAACCGCUUUAACAAAGUAAGACAAGUGUCUGUAACAGAAGUGUUUCUUGUCAAACGAAGUCAUUUUUUAAUUUGCAUAUUUAUCUUAUCAUUAACUCUAAAAUAUUUAUCUUAAGUUAGAGAAAACUCCCGUCACGUCUGGAUCCCACUGCUCACACAGGCGGUGUUGUAGUGAAACAUAUUUCCGUGUAUUUACCUUGUGGACCAAUCAUGUGAAAGCAGAGACUCUUAUACUGUAUGUUGAAUAAAAAAGAGCUUCUCAGUUACUGAGACCGUCCAGCCCAGUAUGUGUAUUUUUAUUGAAACACCUGACUCUGUCAGACCGCCCACAUAACGGAACCAAACUUGGAUUUAUGAAGCUUCUCUAAGAGCUUUUAGUUUCUGUUUGCCAUCAUCUGCUGAUGUGGUCUUCAUGUCACCUCAGUCCCCACUGACUCCACUUAUACUGUUCCUGGAAGCUGCCAACACAUUCAGGCAGGCAAAGGGAAACAAAUGAUCCCAUGGAUGUGCAUGUAUAUAUACAGUAAGCACACACAGUAUAUAUACUCACAAAUACAGCUCACACCAACCGAUCACACAGCCUCUCUCUGGGGAUGCAGACCUGUCUCUUUCUGAAGCCCCAGAGACGUCAAUGUCAGCACAUGCAGUGACCAGGUUAUUCUCGGCUUGUUCUAUAUACACUUUGACAUCACAUGUAAUAUUCAGCAGUCCACUAUAGCCUACACACGCACAGUAUUUGACUCUACCUGCACCCUAUACAUGAUCCGAUCCUAUCGACACAAACAUGUUAGUCAACCAUGGGGAGAGCUGCUGUGAUUAUUUCUUCUUAAAGGGAUAUUAAUUUAGGGUCAAACACACCGUAACACCGAGUUAGACACCCCGACGAGAGAUGAAUGUUGCCGACCACUUGCUUCUCUAGUUAUACCAACUUUAGUAACGACCACAGGAUAGCAAUACAGAGAGCCACGCGCUCAACCAAAACGCCACUCUACAGCCACAAAUAAUGCUCAGAACAGCACCUAACUUCAUCAACAGGACAUAUAGGGUCACAGACAUAGUACUAGACACCAAACAUCUUUUUAGCUUUGACUCAUUUCUUUAGCAAAGAGACUAAACACAACUCACCUUCUCUCUUCCAGCAGCCAAGAGACCUCAGGUCAGUCCAUUACGGACUACAGCGGGGUGAUGCAGCUCAAGGAAGAACAUUUAUGAUCAAUAAUCAACAAAUUAAUCAUUUUGAACUGCAGACGCAGUCGUUUUUCUGCCUUAGCGUCUCGGUCUGAUUGUAUUUCCAUAAAGAAAUGAUCAUAAAUGUUCUUCCUUGAGCUGCGGCACCCCACUGUAACCCUAACUUAAUUCUAUGCCGGAAUAUCCCUUUAAAGUCGACCAUGGGAAGAGCUGCUGGUAUUUUUACGUCUUAAACAAGUGGAUACGUUUUUUAAGAUGUGCGGAUUUUCUGUGAUUCCUGAAUCGUUUCCUCCAAUCAAAAGUUCUGUCCGUCCAUUUUUGCCUGAAUUUGUUGUUUGGUUUGUUGGUUUGGGUUCGAACUUCCUCCCUGAAGAGUUUCUAAUGUUGCUGCUGUUGCUGUGAUCAGGGUGGUUGUGCACAUGUACGAAGUGUCUGGUCUGGUUUACGCCUCUGCAUUGGAUUUAUCCUGUAGUAUUCAUGACCCAAACAUUCAGAUUCUGCUGCCAAAUGUGCACACGCUCCGAGCCAAGAGUUGAGUUCUGGACCUGCACAUCCUGAGCGGGAACAUUUUUGCUCUCGUUGAGUUUUUUGUGCAGAAAAGUCAAACAUGUACAGUUUAUCUCUCACUUUUCAAACAUGUGUGAAUUUAUUGAAGCAAACAAGAUGUCAGUAAUGCAAGAGCGCCUCUGAUUGGUGACUUCUCCCGGUGACACGAUGCAGGUACUGAGGGGGUGAAUGAUGCAUAAUGAAGUGACAACAAAGCCAAACACUGAAGCCUGAUCACUUCCUCCUCUGCAGAGAACAGGAUCUUUUAAUAAAGCGCCGUGACAGAGAACUGCAAACAGACAUUUGUCACAGCAGAUGCAUCGAGCUGAGAUGAAGUCGUAGCAGAAACGCCGCCGUACCGUGGUUUGUCCUCAGCCAAGGGGUCACAGAGGUGGAACGUGCAACGUGCAAUAUGUUGAAGUCACUUUCGAACAAAGUCGAUGGAUGGUUGGUCCAAAGCUCCAGCUGGCUGCCAGGGUGGAGCACAGCUGCAGAGAGGUUGUUUAGCCCCAACAAAACCAUUUGUGACAGGUUAAAUUGUGAAAGCGUUUGUCUGCCUGGCCGCACAAGCAUUUAUUGAGUGUGGAAUGAGUUUUUGCACAGCGCUUGUGUGUGUGUGUGCAUUUGUGUGUGUGUGUGUGUGACCUCUGGUCGUAGAUUAAGGUCAUAGCCUCUCUGUCAGGCAGCACAACAUGAGUAAUGUUUUAAUGCGAACUUAUUAGGCCCUCUGUGCUUUUAUGGACAGUGCGAGGCUGCAGAUGGAGAGGUCAUUUUUCACCCUCAAUGACUCGACCUCGGACUUGAACUCGUGUUACUGCCUGGUCAGUCUGUAAUCACCCAAAUGACAAAAUAAAAGAUGAGGAAAGUGCCUGCUCAUAACUCUGACUGUGUUUAUUAUUUUGGUCCGUUAAUAGUCGCGUUAAAGACCAUUUUAUCAUGUUUUAUGUUUAUUCCGUUUGUGUGUUUCGCAGAAGAAAGAUUCAAAAACAUCCAUGUAAAUCUUGCACAUUACUUAUGCAAUGCAACUUUAUUCUUUUUGCACUUGGAGGCAGUUGAAACAAAAGGCUUUAGAUCUCUGAUUCAGCUCCAUAUUUCAUCCGUGUUUACCUGCUUAUUGUGAGAGAAAAUACCAGAAUUGUUAAAAUACCUUAAUUUCAUUUCUUCUGUGAUCUUGAAGACACAAUUUACCACAAAAAACCACCUGGCCUUGACUUCGAUGUUUUAUAUGAGACAUUUAAAGUUGAGUUUAAGGACCAGGUACGAAAGCAGAGAAGUGUGUUUAUUGAAUUUUGUCGCAGUGUUACAUUGAGGACGUCUUAUUUGUGUGUCUCAUGUAGCGGCUGCUUUGGGUCUAAUGACAAACCCUUCCCCUGAGGAACUUCUAAAGUCACAGAGAAACAACUAAAUGAGCAGAGAUGGAUCAGACCUGACUGUACAGAGCCCGGCACGGUGACUCUGCACUCUUACGAGACGGUCCUGGAGCUGCUGCAGGUCGCCCUGAGCUGUGCAUUUGUCUUUUUAAGGCUUUUCAGCGGGGAACCAAAUGAGAAAUCUGGUUUUUACCCUGAGACCCUGCAGAAGACAUUUAGCUGUGCCUGAGGCCGCUGCUUCAUGAGAACAUAUUAUUACUUUAUCAUCUGGAGAGUCAUCACAGACACUCCAUUUCCUCCCACAGCUUUGUUUUUGGACAGAUUUGGCGUAUUAAAAGUUUGACUGUAGCCCCGGAGAUGUCGUCUGCCUCUAACAUUAAGAAAGUUUACUUCCUGUUACUGGGUAACUCCACAGGGUGCUCGUGUCUGAACGUGAAGAAAAGGAUCAAAAGCUGCAUUUUCCAUCAGCGCAAACAAAUCUGUCUUGAUCCCUGUAAUCUGCAGUUGAUGUUGGAGAGUUGGAGCGCAGAUCUUAUUUAUUCAGUCGAACCUUUUACUCUGAAGGAGGCUGUUUUUCCGGUCUGAAUCUGAGCUCUUUUCCUCAACAUUUCUACUUGUAGACACUUUUAUACCGUCAUACCGCCCAACUCUAGUCUGGAUGGUCUUUUUCCUCUGUAUGUCCAGGAUUUACAAAAACAGUUAGAAAUGUGGACUUGUCAGUCCGUCUCAGAGGCUGUUGUUAAAAUCUGGUUUUGUUUUUGCAUCCUUGAGUUUGAACUUGUAGAUGUAGGGACCAACUGUUUUAAUGCAGUGUCACCUGAGGGGUCAAAGGUCACAGGCCCUCAGUGUUGGUUUGGGUCUUGCUGCUUACAUGCAGAGAUUUCUCUGAAUCUUUUGACGCUAUGCUGGACUGUAGAUGAUCAGAUCACUGAAUUCCUCAAACGUUGUUAAACUGUUGGACUGUUUGCUCACGCAGUUGUUGACAAAGUGGUGAACCGGGCCCCGUCCUCGCUUGUGAAGCUCCUUUUAUACCCGAUCAUGACUCUCACCUGUUUAAACGUGUUCACCUGUAGAAUGAUCCAAACAGGUGUUUUUGGAGCUGCCCUCAAUUCUCCCAGACUUCUGUUGACACCUUUUUUGGGAUCGUGUUACAGCCAUCAAAUUCAAAAAGAAUGAAUACUUAAAAAAAACUCAACUUAAUCAGUUUGAACAUUAAAUAUUAUGUCUUUGUCGUGUUAUUGGAUAUAAGAAGACAAAGAUUAGCAAAUCAUUGUAUUCUGGUUUCAUUCACAUUGUACUCAAACUUCACUGGAAUUGGGGUUUGUACUAAAUCCUGUCCCAGUGUAUCAUAUAGGCUUUAAAUUUUGUUUAUAUUUUAAAAGUAAAGUCUGUCUUUAAAACUCUUUCCAGACCUUGUGUUUGUAUCUUAUUCUGAAACAUCUUCUCCUGUUCAGACAUUACUGCUGAUCACUGCUGUGUUUUACCACCGAACUCUAUCCUCCAGAUGACUUUUUCAACCUCAUGAUUUCAACGACUAAUCGCCGCGCACGUGUCCAAAAAUUGACGGGGAUGAGAUGGUCUCUCAUCCUCCACCUCCACCUGACAGGAGC